rnacentral:sRNA from 1 species
UCCUGGCCUGCUGGUCUGUGCCGGCGAGUGUGCUGAGAGGAGGGCCUCUGGACAUCAAAGGUUCCUUUUGUCCCCUUCCGAGUGGCAGGGCAGCCCGGCCCGGGCUGCUGGCGAUGACUCAGGCCUGGCCCUGACGUCACCCACGCCCGGCCACUGGCCUCCCUCUGAAGCCAGGAAACUAGUUGGGGAGUGGCACUCGCAGCUGCAGCAAAUCUCAAAAUAAAGAGGCGACGGCCUUUCUCUUCCUCUCCAUCUCCCUAUAGCACACCUUUUAUUUCUUUUCUUCUUUUUAAGCCUCACGAAAGAUUUUACUUGUAGAUCAACUUUCAAAAUGUAGGAAGUCAGAAUGGGUGACAUCAUCAGAAAAAUAUGUGGAGCUGAUCACAAGAAGUGAAGAACCCAGAGCACGAAAGCGGUUGUGACUCCUGGGCCCAGGGAGUUGACAGCGUCUGGGCUUCAGAGGAGCCAGCGCCUCCGAGUUGUCUUGAAGUGAGGCUCUGCUGUAGUCCUGUUCUUCUGGCUCUAAGAUCUGAAUGUUGUGACCACUAAUUUGCUCUUUCCUGGAGGGUAACCCCAGUUUGGUCCACAAGGCUUGCUGCCCAAUCCUUGCCAACAGUUGAACCAAGACUCUGAGGCUGAUAUGCAAUGUCACUUACAACAUUAAUCAGAUACUGCAUUUAAGAUCUUGAUGUGGAAGAAAUGGAGGACUCAGAACCAAGGAUUUCCAAGUGAUUUCUUCCAAAGCACAGGAAUCUCACUGUGUUAAAGCUGGUCUGUUCUAACUGAGGUGUUCUGUGAAUGCUGUACAGCAUACUACA